CCCUAGAGAGAGAAAGGGCGAGAUUUCUAGAGAGAGAAACACAGACUUCUAGAGAGAGAAGCGCAAACCCUAAUCCUAGCCCUAACAGCACCGACAUCGAGAGCAAUUCGGACUCGGAUCCGCAUGAAAUACACCCUAACCCUAGAAAAUUCAUGGAUAAAUUCCCCUUCCAAAUCUGAAUGGAAACCCUAACCCUAAACCUAGCCGGAUCGCCCCAGCAUGGCUUCUUUGGGAUCCUCUGGUUUUCCAUCUUCUUCGCCGGAGGCUGAGCCGCUUGGUUGAUUAGCAUUGUUUUUGUGUUGAUUAGGUAGAGUUUUGUGCUAUUGUAGAGAGGGAAAAUUGGUUUUUUAGAGAGACGGAGCGUGCUCUUUUUACACAGAGAAAGUUGGGUGUAGAGAGAGGGAGAUGGGGAGUUCGGGAUCGGGUGUGGUCGAUUCCAGCGUGGGGACAAUCGUGUGGGUGCGGAGGAGGAACGGGUCGUGGUGGCCCGGGAAAAUACUUGGACCCGAUGAGCUCUCGGCUUCUCAUCUCAUGUCACCGCGAUCCGGCACUCCGGUCAAGCUUCUCGGAAGAGAGGAUGCUAGUGUGGAUUGGUAUAAUUUGGAGAAAUCUAAGCGUGUAAAGGCAUUUCGAUGUGGUGAAUUUGAUGAUUGUAUCGAAAGGGCCGAAUCCUCACAGGGCAUCCCGAUAAAGAAAAGAGAGAAAUAUGCACGUCGAGAAGAUGCUAUUCUUCACGCUCUUGAACUUGAGAAGCAACAGCUGGCAAAGAAACAGGGGAAAUUAGGUAUUGCUUCUGAUUGUACAAGUAGUAAAUCAUGUAAUGCUGUAAAAAAAGAGUUAGUUACAUCUUCAGAAAGUUUGGGUAAUGAAAAUGGAAAACUUGGAAUCACCAAAUCACAACAACUUUCUAAGAGACUAGAUUCAACUAAUAAGGAUGAUAUAAUGGGAAAUCCUUUGUAUUCACAAAAAGCCAAAGAGGGAAGUCAAAUCAACUGGGAAGAUGAUACAUUGGAUGUUAUACCUCGGAUGAGAGGCUUGCAAGACUUUGGACUCAGGACUGCCCCUUCAAAGAGAAAGCUUUCUUCUGCUGUUUCAAAUGGUUCUCGAAAACAGGCAGUUGAUAAUGCUCAAGCUAUUCCUAGUAGCAGUGUUGGCAUGGGAAGUAUAACUCAUGCAAGCAGUAAAAGUUCUAUAGACAAAAGGAAAAGGUUAUAUGAGGGAUUGACAGAGGAAUCACUUGUCAAGAGGCGUGAUAGGCGCCGUCCUCUUGUUCAAGUGUUGCAGAAUACCGAAAAAUUACCAGUCCCUCACCUGUUGCAAACUGAAAGUGGCACUGUUUCCUCUAUUGCAGAAGCGGAGCAGAUGGGAAGUGUUUUCCGGGCAAAGAGGAGCAGAUGUGUGUACUUGCCAUCUGAGUCUGAUGAUCGUUUGGAAUAUAAAGAAAUUCCUCCAAGUGAGAUGGAGAUGUCACCUUCCCAGUUUGGAGACAGUAAUAAUCAUCCUCAUCCUAGUUCUUUGACUGAAGAGAACACUUCUGAAUUUAUGGAAGGUUCUGAAUCAGAUUCUUCUGAGACUGAAGCAGAUACUGAUGCAGAGAUGACCGAACUUGCAGAGACUGUUGCACCAGCAGAAGCAGAAGCUGAAGCAAAAGCUCUUGGAAAACCUGUAGUGCCAGGGGAAGAUGGAAGCAUGAGCAGUGAGGAGCCUGAUGAGUCUGCACUUACUGGUGACUUGUCUCACCUGCACCCUCAUGACCCUGUUUCUGCUAGUGUGGGGGUUUCCAAAUGGCAACUGAAAGGGAAAAGGAACAUGCGCAAUCUCACUAAAAGAUCUGCAGAAGUUGUUGAUGGAAAAGUUUCAAAUGGAUCCAUUCAUAAACCAUAUCUAGAGGAAAAUGGAAACACGAUGGGCCAAAGGACUUUGGGGCAGAGUAUGAUGUUCCAUCAUAGCAGCAAUGAUUUUGACAAUGAUCUUCAUGAGGCUGAUUUAAUUGAGAAGGAUUUUGGGACCCAAAUGGCUGGAUUGGAUAGCAGGGGAUACUCAUUAACAUCAAAAACUGCACCUAGAGCUCGAAAUAUGAUUGAUUGGGAGGAAUUGACUUGGGAAGAUCAGCCUGCUUUGAAAGGAUACUGGGAGGACACAGGUGAGUGCUUUGAUCCCAUAUUUGUUGGCCGUCAUAACCCUGCUGGUAGGAUAAAAACCACACUGGUGGAUGUGGAUUUGAGGGUUCAAACAAAUUAUCAACGAGAGCAUGUCCCUAUUAUUUCGCUGAUGAGUCGGUUAAAUGAUAAGUCAAUAGUAGGGCAUCCAAUCCAAAUCGAAGCACUGGAAGAUGGUUCAUCUGAAAUGCUUCUUUCUUCAAAUGAGGAUUUCGGCAAUGAUGUGUUCGAUAAUGACAGAAAUAGAGCAAUUCCACCAGUUUGGAGAACUGCCCGAAGGACAGCCAAUUUCCGUGUUCCCCGCCCUCAUCCAUCAUCAGCACUGGAUGGUGACGAAGCUGUGGAAGAUCUCCCUUUUUUGGAUCAAGGAAGAAAGUCAACAUAUAAGAAAUCAAAUGCAGGGAAUUCUGGUCACAAAGGAAGCAUUAUGAGGAAAAGCCUCCCUCACAUUCCCCGGCCUCCAACAGACCGAAAGUUCCCUAGAAAGAUGCCAAAGAUGGUAAGUUUAUCUUCUAGCCAAAAAACAAGGACUCUGUCUUCAAUUGCCAUUGAACAGAAACAUGGUAACAGGCCAAAACAUGACAGCCACAGUUAUAAAAUGGAUGGGUUGAUCAAACAGGAGUCGUCUGGGCCCACUGCAGUUGCUUGCAUACCUAUCAAACUAGUAUUUAGUAGGUUAAAUGAGUCAGUUUGUAGACCGCCAUCAAGAGCAACUAGUAAUGUGGUUUCGGUGAAUGGUGAUCCGGAGAAAAAUCCAUCAUAGACUAGUAAACUACAUGUAAAGUGUUAUAUGGGAUCAAUAAUGUUAUACAGCCAAUGCAUCAAUUGUUGCUAUUUUUUUCCCAACUAAAGCAUGCCCACCCCAGCCCUUAUAAUCGAGCCAGCAUCUUGAGGGUGAAGAUUUCUGUCUGCCUUGAAUAAUCUGAUGAUAAGCAGGUAACAAGAGAAACCAUUUGUGCAGCGAACUUGGGUCAAGACGAAGCUCUUUAGGAUUCGCCAAGUCACUGACCCAAUAACGCUGCAGUUAGUGGGUUUCUGAGGAACGUGGAGCAGAUGAAGAUAGUAAGUUGUUCAUUAGCCAGAUUACAUCGAUGGAAAAGUAGGUACCUUGAAAUUCACAUCGAUGGUUGUACAUUCAGUUUCAUUUUCGUAUAAGCUUUAUGUAUUUUCAAGCUGUUUCCUCUCUUUUCUAAUUUAAAUAUAUAGAGGAACCUGGGUUAGUAGGGAUCGCUAUAGAGAUGCUAUUUUGGGGUGUUUUCAAUAAUCAUCAGAUGAACCUGGAGCUGAAACAUCGCCUGCUGCUUGACUAUUUUACUCAUGUUAAGUAGGUACUCCGAAUCUUUACCUUGUAAUGUUCUCGGUAACCCAAAUGUGAAGCAAAAUACUAGUCUUAAGAACAUUUAUGCAACAGGUUGAGAGGAUGGGAAAUAUAGGUCUUUGAACAUGAAAGAAAUGAGAACCAAAAUGACAGUGUCGGUUUGGGCAUGAAGGGGAUGGCUGUGUGACCUUAAUGUCUGACCUGGUCCCUGCCUCCAGGUUGAACCAUUUGGAUUUUGACCCCAGUUACCCAAUGGCAUUUGGUCUCAUCUGCCCUUGCUGGUUAGUGAGGUGAAGAGUGCACAAGAGCUGUCAUGGUGUUUUUUUUCGUUUUGUAUGUAUGUCAUGGUGUUCUGUUUGG